rnacentral:rRNA from 1 species
GAUGAACGCUGACAGAAUGCUUAACACAUGCAAGUCGAUGGGGAAGUGGUGCUUGCACCAUGGUAACCAUGGCGGACGGGUGAGUAACGCGUAAGGAACUUGCCUGCGGGACUGGGAUAACAGCAGGAAACUGCUGAUAAUACCGGAUAAGGUCAUUAAGCUGCAUAGCUUAGUGAUGAAAGGAGACGCCUGCGGAGAGCCUUGCGUCCUAUUAGCUAGUUGGAGGGGUAACGGCCCACCAAGGCGAAGAUAGGUAGCCGGCCUGAGAGGGUGGACGGCCACAAGGGGACUGAGAUGCGGCACUUACUCCUACGGGAGGCAGCAGUGGAGAAUAUUGGACAAUGGGGGCAACCCUGAUCCAGCAAUUCUGUGUGCACGAAGACGGUUUUCGGAUUGUAAAGUGCUUUCAGCAGGGAAGAAGGAAGUGACGGUACCUGCAGAAGAAGCGACGGCUAAAUACGUG